UACAGGGGGGGCAAGCGUUGUUCGGAAUUACUGGGCGUAAAGGGCUCGUAGGUGGCCGACUAAGUCAGACGUGAAAUCCCUCAGCUUAACUGGGGAACUGCGUCUGAUACUGGAUGGCUUGAGUUUGGGAGAGGGAUGCGGAAUUCCAGGUGUAGCGGUGAAAUGCGUAGAUAUCUGGAGGAACACCGGUGGCGAAGGCGGCAUCCUGGACCAACACUGACGCUGAGGAGCGAAAGCGUGGGGAGCGAACAGG
rnacentral:rRNA from 1 species